GAGUUUGAUCGUGGCUCAGAACGAACGCUGGCGGCAUGCCUAACACAUGCAAGUCGAACGAGAUCUUCGGAUCUAGUGGCGCACGGGUGCGUAACGCGUGAGAAUCUGCCCUUGGGUGCGGAAUAACUUCUCGAAAGGGAUGCUAAUACCGCAUAAUGUCGUAAGACCAAAGAUUUAUCGCCCAAGGAUGAGCCCGCGUAAGAUUAGCUAGUUGGUGGGUAAAGACUACCAAGGCGACGAUCUUUAGUCUGGUCUGAGAGGAUGAUCAGCCACACUGGGACUGAGACACGGCCCAGACUCCUACGGGAGGCAGCAGUGGGGAAUAUUGGACAAUGGGCGGAAAGACCUGAUCCAGCAAUGCCGCGUGAGUGAUGAAGGCCCGUACGGGUUGGU
rnacentral:rRNA from 1 species